UGAUAGCUGUGAAGCGUGAGGUUGCAGGUAAGGAUUCAUCCGAACCUGGUUUUUCCGCGGAGCGAAUGUCAAGUUACAAAACUGACGACAA
rnacentral:ncRNA from 1 species